rnacentral:rRNA from 1 species
CCUACGGGUGGCAGCAGUGGGGAAUAUUGCACAAUGGGGGGAACCCUGAUGCAGCGACGCCGCGUGAGUGAAGAAGUAUUUCGGUAUGUAAAGCUCUAUCAGCAGGGAAGAAAAUGACGGUACCUGACUAAGAAGCUCCGGCUAACUACGUGCCAGCAGCCGCGGUACUAUGCAGGGGGCAAGCGUUAUCCGGAUUUACUGGGUGUAAGGGGAGCGCAGACGGCUGUGCAAGUCUGGAGUGAAAGGCGGGGGCCCAACCCCCGGACUGCUCUGGAAACUGUAAAGCUGGAGUGCAGGAGAGGUAAGCGGAAUUCCUGGUGUAGCGGUGAAAUGCGUAGAUAUUAGGAGGAACACCAGUGGCGAAGGCGGCUUACUGGACUGCAACUGACGUUGAGGCUCGAAAGCGUGGGGAGCAAACAGGAUUAGAUACCCUAGUAGUC